rnacentral:lncRNA from 1 species
CCCGAGAUGGUGUGGAUCUCUCCAUGAACGGGCAUCUCAUGCCCCUGGUCCUCACCUGGCGCUGCUGGGGCCUCAGCCUUCUGUGGCUCCGCCAAGUAGUCGUUUAGGAACCCACUCUUCACCAGUUCGUCCAACUGGUGUCCCAACGCCAAGCAGUUGCGUAUGGGAUGACCAAAUGCCUGGUGAAACUCACACCAAGCCUCCUUGUGAGGUCCCAGCUUCUUGUCAUUCUUGGGCGGUAUCUUCAACCUCUCCGCUAUGUUGGGCACAACUAUCAAAUCUUUCAACUCUACCACGAAAUUAUGCCUCAUAGGCUUACCUUCCCUUCCACACUCCUAGCCUGAGGCUUCCUAGGCUUGUAGGGCUGCUUCUUCGCGGGGGCCCUCUUCUCUGUUGCAGCCUCAUGCACUCUCACGGGUUGCGCACGCGCUGGCGCUCGUGGGGGUGCUGGAACAACACAUGCGCACUUUUCAUUCACCUCUCCUUCUGCUGCAAUGUGAGCUACCGCUCGACGCCUAAUCUUAGCGAAGGUUUUGGGGCGGCUUCUGAUGAGUGACUCACUGAAAGGCCCUAGACAAAUCCCCUUUCUGAACGCGUGAACCAUCAUCGUCUCGUCCUUGGUGUUGAGCUUCACCACCUGUGCCCCAAAACGGUUAACAAACUCCUUCAGCGACUCACCCUAGUAGUGUCUUAUGUCGAAAAGAUCGUAAGAGUUGGGUGGGGGAGCGCGAUUCGCAAUGUAUUGCUCCCUGAACAACUUUGACAACUGGGCAAACGACGUCACAUGGCCAUCAGGGAGGCUGAUGAACCAAUCCAUCGUCGUCCCUACCAGCGUGCUCUUGAAUAAUUUGCACCUUACUACAUCAGAACCACCAACCAGCAUCAUCUGCGUAUGGAAGGCUGUGAGAUGGGCCUCUAGAUCCUCCAUCCCCAUGAACGUGGCUUUCGAUCCCACGAAUGUAGCUGGUAUCACAGCAUCCAUAAUUGCCUGUGAAAAAGGCAUGGGAAAUUCCAUGGGUGGUGUAGCACAUUCUUGUUCCUCCGCUUCACGGUCCCCUGCCUGAUUUCGCAAAUCACGCCGCAACUCUUCAUUAGUUCAGUGUAACUCUUCGUUUCUCGCUUGCGACGCAGCCAGAUCAACCUGGAUGCGUUCUUGAUCAGCCCUUGUCACUGCCAUCGCUUCUUGAAGGCCCUGCAUAAUUUCUGUACCGACCAGGUCAUCGGGUGUGAUGGCGUGUCUUGCACGUGCUCGGGUGGGGCGCGCUCAGUGGAACACGUAGGUUAGAAAAGAUGAAUGGUUCAGAAGUGGGCAUAGUCGCCGAUCGCUGAAUUGGCGUUCUUCGGUCUCUAGUGUGCGUAACCGGCGGUCACCAGAGUUACGUCACAGUCGACGUAUGAGAGUGCUAGGAGAUCAGAUGAUCAGAGAUCGCCGGGGAAUGCUAGGAGAUCGGGUGGUUUACACGCCGCCACAAGGAGCACAUCGCCAGAUCUCCCAGUAAACUUAGUUAAAUCUGUUGAAGGCUCAGAAGGGUAAUUUCAAGCGUGUAAGUUCGGUAAGACGAUUGUUGCACCAGCAUGGGGCAUGAAGGUUGAGUGGGUUGGGGGGAACACCUUGCUCAUCAGCGACAGGAUUCCCAGAGUGUACAUUCGUUGGUGGCAAGGUUUCCCCAGCUGGAACAUGCAUGGCGUAGCACUAAGGAGGGUGCCACUUGCGACGAGCGAUAUCACAAAGAUGAUGCACUUUGUUGCAUCCGAAACUCGCCUCGUCAGGUGGUGUUUCAUAGCGCAUGGCGUGCUGGGUUACUCCUUGAGUUGAGGACUUAGCUGUGUGGUUGGUUACUACACAGAAAUAACGUUCAAGUUGCCCCAAUCCAGAUGACGACACGUGUAGGGUUGGAUGUCACCAGUUACUCCAACCUAGAUGAUGACACGUGUAUGGUUGGGAGCAAUAGAGAAAUGACGCUCAAGUUGUCCUAGCUCAGAUGACAACACGUGUAGGGCUGGGCGCUACCUGCUAUCCCAGCCCAAAUGGCGACACGUGCAGGGCUGGAUGCGAGCCACGCGUCCAAAAGCAUAAUGACCUGGAGAGAGAAGAAACCUAGCUAUAAAGGUAACCUUAACAGAAUUUGCAAAGGUACGUUUUCAUUACGGCUAAUUCUGCUAGGGUUGUGUGCCUUCAGUACGGUCCUACAGAGCAUAUUUUCUCUUAGUUUUUGGGUGUUCUUGUCGCUGACUUGAGCGUCGGAGCGCCAUCCUUCCGAACCUAAGAAAAGUAAGAGCAAGGGACCAGGGCGCCCCAGGGAGAGUAAUCGCCCCCCGAGGUAUGAGUUUGUAAUGGGUUUGGCUGAUUUGAUCGUCAUCCCAAACAUUGCUGCCAGGCUCAAAGUGCUUGAGAAAAUGACGGAGAAGGUUUUGGGGCCAAAUCCAGACGCAUGGUGCGAGUUCCAUAAGAGUUUUGGCCAUUCUAUCAACUCGUGUUUAGCUCUGGGAUACCAGCUCGCCGAGCUGGUCAAAUGUGGUUUCUUGAAGGAUUACUUACUAGAGAAGCAAGCGGACCAAGCGUCAGGGUCUCAACCGGCGAGCAGCGGAGGGCAACAGCACGAGGUGCCUGUUCACGGCGAGAUCCACACCAUAGCUGGCGGAUUCUCCGGCGGGGGGUGCACUGCGUCGCAGCGUAAGAGGUAUGCGAGGUCGGUAAUGUCAGUGGAAAUCUUUGAGGAUCACUCGCCCGACGUGGACAUCACGUUCACCAAGAGGGACCUUAGGGACGUGGUGCCUCACGACAACGACCCUAUUGUGAUCUCGCUUGUCACGGCGGGAAGGACUAUCCACCGGGUGCUGGUCGACCAAGGAAGGUCAGCAGAUGUGAUGUUUUGGCCAACUUUUGAGAAGUUACAACUGUCCCCCGAUCAACUGAGACCAUAUGGGGGCUGCUUGUACGGUUUUGUCGGUGACCAAGUGGAGGUGAGGGGGUAUAUCGAGCUGAGGACGACCUUCACUGACGGCUUGGCCUCACGAACGGAGAAGAUCAGGUAUCUUGUUGUAAACGCCCCGUCAGCAUACAACAUACUGUUGUGAAGGCCAACGCUCAACAGAACAGGAGUUGUGCCUUCGACAAGGCACAUGAAGGUUAAGCUGUCGUCUAUGGAAGGCAUGAUCAUCACCAUUUGCUCCGACCAGAAGGAGGCGAAGAAGUGUUACGAAAACAGCCUUAAGAACAAGAGGUUUGUGUGCCACGUAACCACAACGCCUCCCCCUGGCGUGGAGCCGGAGCGUGAAUCCCGACGAGUUUUGAAUACGGCGUUAGAGGUGGUCGCUGAGGGCGAUGUGCCGAUGGGGAAUGUAGAGGCGAGGUCAGAGAGCUGGGAGGGAGAAAGAAACUGCUCGGAGACCGCCAGAGAAACCGGUAUCGCGAGGGCGCUGAUCGCCAGCGAGAGGAAACCUCAGCCAGUAGAGGAAUGGCUCGAGAAGGAGAUCAGCGGUAAGGUGUUUAAGUUGGGAAGAACCCUGGAUAGCAAGACGCAAGACCAAAUCGCCAAGGUGAUAAGUAGACACUUGGAUGCGUUUCCGUGGGCUGCUUCAGAUAUGCCAGGAAUCGAUCCCGAUUUCUUAUGCCAUCGUUUAGCAAUGGACCCCCAGAUCAGGCCCAUCCGCCAAAGAAGAAGAAAGUUCAAUGAGGAGAAGAGACAGGCGAUCAAGGAAGAGACACAGAAACUCUUUGCAGCGGGCUACAUCAGGGAGAUCCAAUAUCCAGAAUGGCUCGCUAAUGUUGUUCUAGUCAAGAAGAGCAGCGGAAAAUGGCGGAUGUGUGUUGAAUUUACAGACCUGAACAAGACUUGCCCAAAGGAUUCUUAUCCGUUGCCGAGCAUAGACGCCCUGGUAGACAGUGCAUCGGGGUGCAAGCUGCUCAGUUUUCUGGAUGCCUUCUCGGGGUACAACCAAAUCAAAAUGCACCCCAUGGACGAAGAGAAGACCGCCUUCAUGACGGAAAGGUCAUGUUAUUGCUACAAGGUAAUGCCCUUCGGGUUGAAGAAUGCAGGGGCUACAUACCAAAGGCUGAUGGACAAGGUGCUCGCACCCAUGCUCGGAAGGAAUGUGCAGGCAUACGUCGACGACAUGGUCGUGACGUCCCUGGAGAAAGACAAGCACGUCGCCGACUUGGAGGAGUUGUUCAUCACGAUAGCCAGGUACAAGCUAAAACUGAAUCUUGAAAAGUGCGUUUUUGGUGUAGAAGCAGGGAAAUUUCUGGGGUUUCUCCUGUCAGAGAGGGGAAUUGAGGCUAACCCCGAGAAGGGCGCCGCCAUAUUGGCAAUUAGGAGCCCCGCCAAUGUGAAGGAGGUGCAGCAACUCACGGGGCGGAUGGUCGCCUUGUCCCGAUUCGUAUUGGCAAGCAGAGAGAAGGGCCACCCAUACUUCCAAUGUUUGAAAAGGAACAACAGGUUUGUUUGGACAAAGGAGUGUGAGGAGGCCUUCGUAAAGCUCAAGGAAUAUUUGGCGAGCCCUCCAGUUCUGUGCAAGCCCCAACUCAUAACACCGCUCAGGCUGUACUUUGCCAUAACUGAGAAGGCGAUCAGCGCAGUGUUAGUGCAGGAUCAGGAUCAGAUCCAAAGGCCUAUAUAUUUCGUUAGAAAGGUGCUGCAAGGCCCAGAGGUAAGGUACCAUGCCCUAGAAAAGGCAACAUUGGCGGUUGUAUUCUCGGCGAGGAGACUGCGCCAUUACUUCCAGAGCUUCACGGUACUGGUGAUGACUGAUCUUCCAAUCCAGAAGGUUUUGAAGAAGCCCGAUGUGGCUGGAAGGAUGGUGAAGUGGGCAGUUGAGCUUUCGGAGUUCGACAUCAAAUAUGAACCCCGGGGAUCGAUCAAAGGGCAAGUCUUCGCCGAUUUCGUGGUCGAGUUGUCCUCCGAGGUGGCACAGAACGCCGAGGGUCACUUUCGCUGGGUACUCUCAGUUGAUGGGUCGUCCAACCAGUUGGGCAGCGGGGCUGGGGUCAUUUUGGAAGGGCCCAACGGAGUGUUGAUAGAGCAAUCAUUGAGGUUUGCUUUCAAAGCAAGCAACAAUCAAGCAGAGUAUGAGGCCUUGAUCGCCGGAAUCCUGCUGGCUAAGGAAAUGGGGGCGAGAGUGCUGAUGGCCAAGAGCGAUUCGCUGUUGGUCACCAGACAAGUAACUGGCGAGUUCCAAGCCAAGAACCCGCAGAUGGCAGCCUACUUGGAGUAUGUGCAAGAGCUAAGAAGAUCUUUCACUUCAUUUGAAGUGGUGCACAUGCCAAGAGAACAUAAUGCCUGAGCUGACUUGCUAGCCAAGCUCGCCAGUUCGGGCAAGGGGGGCAAGCAGAGGACUGUCAUUCAAGAAACUUUGAAAGCGCCUCGAGCAUUCGUGGCAGACCACCAAGUUCUCCAUGUUUACAGAUCAAUGGGAAGACCGGCGAGAAGUCACAGAUCCCUAACGCAGGAAACUCUGAGGGUGCCGAGGGUCAGAGCGCGCCCAGCGGAAGGGGCAAGAUCGAUGCAGGUUUGCGCUGUCCACGAACCAGACACGUGGAUAACGCCUUACCAACGUUAUUUAGCGGAUGGUGUGCUUCCAGUUGACUCAACUGAGGCCAGAAAAAUAAAGAAGAGCUCCAGCAAGUUUACCCUUAUUGACGGCGAGCUGUACAGGUUUGGAUUUACACACCCUCUUCUUCUAUGUAUACACGGAGAGAAGUGCACGAGGAUUAUGGCUGAGCUCCAUGAGGGAAUUUGCGGGAGCCACAUUGGAGGUCGAUCGCUGGUGACAAGAACUAUCCGUGCAGGCUAUUACUGGCCCACGAGGAGAGAAGAUUGCAAGAAAUACGCCCAGCGUUGCAAGCAAUGCCAGCAGCACGCCGAUUGGCACAAGGCACCCCCAGAAGAGCUUAAGUCAAUUUAUAGCCCCUGGCCGUUUCAUACUUGGGGAAUUGACAUUCUGGGACCCUUCCCAUUGGCGGUCAGGCAGAUGAAGCACUUGGUAAUGGCGAUUGAAUACUUCACCAAGUGGAUCGAAGUGGAGCCAGUGGCCCAGAUCACCGCACACAAGAUCGAGAGCUUUGUAUGGAAGAACAUAGUGUGCCGGUUUGGUGUGCCUAAACGCCUGGUGUCAGACAAUGGGACUCAAUUUGCAAUUCACCUCUUGAAAAAGCUGUGCGAAGAGGUGGGAAUACAACAGGUGUUUGCAUCCGUCGAGCACCCACAGACGAAUGGCCAAGUGGAGUAUGCCAAUCGGGUGUUGCUGAGAGGUUUAAAGAGAAGAUUAGAGAAAGCUAAGGGAUCGUGGGCUGAAGAGGUACCCCGCAUAGUUUGGGCAUAUCAUACCACUGAGUAGUCAGGAACCCACGAGACCCCGUUUAGUUUGGUUUAUGGAUGUGAUGCGAUGAUUCCAGUCGAAAUCCAGGAAAGCUCGCCGAGAUUCCAGAACUUUGUGGCGGAAGACUCGAACGAAGAAAGAAGAAUGAAUCUGGAUUUGCUGGAUGAGGUCAGGGAGGAGGCGAGAGUGAAGGCCGAAGCAGUAAAGAGAAGAAUUGAGCGAAGGUACAACUCUAAGGUAAUGUCAAGGCAGUUUAGAAGUGGCGAUCUAGUGAUGAGGAAGGCCCAUCAGUAUGAGAUGCAGAACAAGUUAUCGCCUAAGUGGACGGGACCGUUCAGAAUAACCGAGGUGCUCGGGAAUGGCGCCUACCGCUUGGAGACGUUAGAAGGAGGGGCGAUUCCUCGCAGUUGGAACGCCACACAUCUCAAGUUGUAUUACAGUUAAAGCCUUGUAAGUAAAGACAAAUAUGAAGAGAUUUGAAUAGUUUCUGUUAAAACAACUUCAAGAGGGCACUCUUUUUUCCCUAAAAAGGGUUUUUAAUGAGGCCACCAAAUAAAAGAAGAGUUUUUCAAAGUUUAAGGCUUCUAAGUUUGCAUGCUUAUUGUUUCGAAAGUUUUAGAAAAAAGACCUUAUCACUUGUACGUGAUCUAGGGCAACAGCAAAGUUAUAUUGCAUGCUUCAUGAGUUAAAAGUUUUAAAGUCCCCGUCGUUUUUCGGCGAUCGGUGGCAGUAGUUAAAAGUUUAGAGACCUCAUCGUCUUUCGGCGAUAGGAGGUACCAAUAGUGUAAAAAGCCCUCAGCGCUCUCGUGCAUUUUGAGGCAAAAGAAGAAGUCCUCCUCGCCCUUCAGCGAGUGCAGGUGAGAAAGAGAAGAAGUCCUCCUCGCCUUUGAGCGAGUGAAGGCAAGAACAGAUUGAAAGGCCUCUUUCCAUAAGCAGAUCGAGGCAAGAUUAAAAGUCCUCAGUGCAUCCAGGGGGGAGGAGAUGUACACCCUGGGCAAGUUGAGGCACCAAAGAAAGUCCUUCUCACCUCGGAGUGAGUUCAGGCAAGAUGAAACUGGAAAGUCAGGGGUGUUCGUGACCUUAAACGACGGGAAGGGAAGGUCGAUGGAAAACGCCUUCUCCCCUUUAACUGAAACAUCAAUAUUGACCCAGUAAGACCAGAUAAAGCUUCCACGCUUGCGGGCGGUGUGAAGAUAGAUAAAAUCCUUUUCGUCUUGAAUGAGUUCAGGUACGGCGUGAAGGGUGGCAGAAGAUAAAGGAUAACUGAGGUAGGUUCGAAGAGAACACCUCGCUAUCCAGAUCAUUGUUCUAAAACUCAGGGAGGUAGAGAAGGAUCCGAAAGGUGCCUUUAACCCCAGAUGAGGGAACAAUGAUCAAGUUAUACAAAGAAGAAAGGUAACAUCGCCAGAACCCUAUGGCGUGAAGGUUGAGACAGUGAAGGGGUUGUACGGCGAGUGCCAGACUAGAAGAGUUCCAGGCAAUGACGGAAGUAAGGGGCACUUCACUUGGCAGAUCAGGUAAACUGUAUUUUAAUACUAGUUUGAGUUAAAACCUGCUGCCUAGUAAGUGAUUUUAUGUUAAGUUUUGUUACCUUAAGUUCACAAGUUUUAUUGAAUGCCAUUGCCGAAGAGUUGAUAGCUGCUCAAAUUUACUUUGAGUUAACAGCUCGCUAAGUUUGUUAUAAGGUUAUCAAUUUACUCAAGUUAGAAGCGGUAUGUGAAGGGUUAAGUUCAAGUAUUGCUGAGUUCAUGCAGUUGAGUAAGUUUCGCCAGUUAUGUUAGUUAAACCAGUUGAUUGCGCAGCAGAUAAAUAAGAAGAUUAUGUGUGUAUAUAUAUAUAUAGAUAUAUAUAUAUAUAUAUGCAUAUAUGUGCACAUGAGCAUCGAACAGUUCGAAUAAAAUGAAAAUUAUUACAGAACAAGGUAAAGCAUGGGGCAUGAAGGUUGAGUGGGUUGGGGGGAACACCUUGCUCAUCAGCGACAGGAUUCCCAGAGUGGACAGUCGUUGGUGGCAAGGUUUCCCCAGCUGGAACAUGCAUGGCGUAGCAGUAAGGAGGGUGCCACUUGCGACGAGCGAUAUCACAGAGAUGAUGCACUUUGUUGCAUCCGAAACUCGCCUCGUCAGGUGGUGUUUCCCAGCGCAUGGCGUGCUGGGUUACUCCUUGAGUUGAGGACUUAGCUGUGUGGCUGGUUACUACACAGAAAUAACGUUCAAGUUGCCCCAUUCCAGAUGACGACACGUGUAGGGUUGGAUGUCACCAGUUACUCCAACCUAGAUGAUGACACGUGUAGGGUUGGGAGCAAUAGAGAAAUGACGCUCAAGUUGUCCUAGCUUAGAUGAUGACACGUGUAGGGCUGGCUGCUACCUGCUACCCCAGCCUAGAUGGCGACACAUGCAGGGCUGGAUGCGAGCCACGCGUCCAAAAGCAUAACGGCCUGGAGAGAGAAGAAACCUAGCUAUAAAGGUAACCUUAACAGAAUUUGCAGAGGUACGUUUUUCAUACGGCUCAUUCUGCUAGGGUUGUGUGCCUUUAGUACGGUCCUACAGAGCAUAUUUUCUCUUAGUUUUUUGGGUGUUCUUGUCACUGACUUGAGCGUCGGAGCGCCACCGGCCGCAAAGGCCACUGUGUGUUUUUCAGGUCCUCAGAGAGGCUAUCUGCUGUGUGGACUUGGAGGGCACGUGGUGACAAGCUGGUGAGGAAGACUGUGACGAGGCAACGCUCUUGUGCUAAGUCAACCGGCAGGAUCAAUUUCCAUAACUUGUUGCAGGGUAAGACCUUCGCCCCCGAUUGGCGCAGCAGAUCCUUGCCUCGUAUUCCUCAUCUUGAUCGAUUCUCGAUGAAUCUUGAUGGAUCUUUUAUGUUCUUGUGGUUGGGACAAUCGUUUUAGAUCGAGUCCCACGGUGGGCGCCAAAUGUUGCUGUCGAUUGGCCUAAACGUCUUCAUGUACUCACAACAACCUUCGCAUCCAAGAAUCCCUCCACUCCCACGGUGUUUCCCUCCAGUGGAUCAUUUGGAAAACAAGAGACAAAGUGCGCCCUCGCGGCCGUUUGCAUUCGGACACUCAAGUCAAACUCCAGGCAAUGAAACACCAAAAAACUCUAAACUCUGAGAGCUCUGUGUGUGUAUUCUCUCUGUGUGUUUUCGCUUUAGAAUUGCGUACCUUAUUAUGUUGGUUGUUACCCUUUAUAUACUCUUUAGUGUUUCUGCCCCUUUCGCUAACUAUGACUUAGGCUUACUACAGGUGUGUCUUAGCGUCACUAUCACACAUUCUUAUGGCCAUCUAGUGCGUAAGACUCCCUUCCCGGAGUGCAACCUCCACGGGAUGACCACUUGGGUGCCAACUCAUGCACCCAAUCUUUGGGCCAUCCGCCCUGGGGAGUGCCCUAGCUAUUCAUGUGCCAUGCAUGCAGAUCACCCCUGGAUCGUGACCCUUACGAGUCGUCUCUUUCCCAGCGACUCUUUGAUUGUGGCGCACCCUACCGCGUUGUCCACACCCCAUGCAUGGACCCUCCAUGAUCUAGACUUCUCUCUUACCGAGAGCUGAAAUGUGACUUGGAGACCACCUUUUUCGGCCCAACUUUACUGUUUGGGUGACCGACGUCCGAGGCCUCCACGCCCUUCGCCUGGAUGCCGCCCCCUCCUCGGCUACCCUUACUCGCGAGCCUCUUGAGACACUGGCCCGUCCUCCCAGCCUCCCAUCAUUCGGGGCCCCACCAUCACUGUGGUCCACGCCGAAGUUCGAGGACUGGUCGGUACAGUUUAUACUAGUCGCGUUUCACUAAGACAUGCAAUUUUAACAUACUAGUCGAGGCUUACCAAAACUAAAAAGUCAAAUAAGCAAAUCAAAAUACUAGUAUCAUACAUAUAUGUCCUUAAAAGAUCAGGAUUGUUCAGAGAGCCACAAAAGGCAGCAGGUUACACAAGUACGCUACUCAUCCACAAGUUGCUCGUCCACCACCAUCUUGCCUAAGCCAAGUAUGGAGAAGUCCAUCCCAGGAUAGAUUCCUGAGGCUUGGGCAACGGUGUCUUCAAAGCCCUCCAUGUACGAGUUGGCAGUGUCGUCGGUGAGGGCUUCUGAUGAAGAUCAAGUAGAGGAGGCUCCUGAGGCCCAAGCCCAAGAAGCCCAAGCCGAAGUGGGGGCCCAAGCCCAACCCAUGAGCUCAACAUCCUUCAUGCCUCAAAGGAUUACUAAGAGCAAGGCCAAGGCUUUGGGAGAUGAGCAUCAUUGGAUGUAUCUCUUUAUAAUUUCUUUUAGUAGUUUUUUUAGUAGAACACAAAAGAAAGGUGUAGAUAUAGAUAUAGGGGAUGUUAAUGUACAAAGAUAAGUCACACCUUCCAUGUGACAUAAAUAGAAGGUGUAGGUGUAGUUUUAGGAGUUUCCAAAGAAAGAAAUCAAGUCACACAUUCCUUGUGACUUGUUAGGCGCCGAAUUUGAAUAUCUUGCAUUUGAAUUUUCCCUCUUCUUUUUGCAGCCCUCUAAACACUAUAAAUAGAGGUGCUUGGCUCUUGUAAAAUUAGAUUGAAUUUGAACACAUUUUGUGUUAGAAUUGUGAGAAUUGCUUUCUCCUAGCCUAGUAUCAUAUUGUGAGUAUUUCAGAAGCUCUCAAGUGGCGACAUCUUGCACUUAUCUUGGAUCAAUCACCAUCCAAGUGGUGUGUUCUUCCCUACCAUGUCUUCAACCACUUAAGUUCCUUCUUGCUUCAUCUCCAUUUCCAUUUCCGUACCUUAAUUCUCCAUUCUAUUCGGUUAUGUUGUUUUUUUCUUCAAUUCUACCGAUUGUUCUUGUUGUUCUUGUGUAUCCUUUUUCAAUUCUGCACUUAGCUCUCCAUUUCAUUCGGUAAUUGUGUUUAAUUCCUUGUGUUCCUUUUCGGUUUACAUUUGUGUUGUUCAUGUGAAUAGGUUUGUGGAAUGACACUCGUGUUUAUGAGUUUGGUUAAUCAUUUGGAAGACUUUAAGCUCCAUUGAUGUUUCCUUAAGUUUCUCCACUUAACCGAAUUGUUCCUUGUCUUUACAGCUUCUAAUUGUCAUCAUUCAUCACAUAUACUUGUGUUUUUCCUUGGACCUUUGGAAAUGAACCUUCACAUCUACUUAACACUUGUUAAGUUAAUGUCCAGUGGGGAUUUUCCUUAAGUGACUCACCUUAAAUUGCUAAGAAUCUUGAUCCUAAUUCCUAAAAGUGUCACAGUAUUAAUGAAUCUAAAUCAUCUCACAUCAGCUUCCCUUUCUUUCACCAGUUCCUCACCCUUCUGAACCAGCUCUUCAUCCUUCUGAGCUAGCUCCUCCUUUAGCCUCUCCACCUCAGCUUAGAGCCUCGCGUUCUUGUUAGAUAAUUCUAAGGCUUCCUUGAACUUCUCAGUCAGGAGAGCCUUAGCUUCUUGUUAGGACCGUUGGAGUUCUUCAUAAAGCUUUGACAUUUCUUGCUUGAGGCCUCCAACCUGCUGUAGGAGCUCGGUGACCUCAUGGGACUUCUUCUCAGCCGACCCUUUCCAGUCUCUCAGCUUGAAGAUAGCUAGGCAACUCGUAGCUAGAGCCUGCCUCAGCUGCCUCACAGCUUGUCCCACCAAGUGAUCUUCCUCGAGUCCAACUAGCUUUUCCUUGGUCUUGGUGGGUAGUAGGACCUUCUCAAGGAAGGAAGGAGCAUCCAAGUUAGGAUCCCACAGUCUUUCCUCUUGAGCGCUUAUGCCCUCACCUUCCUACACCACUAUCAUGUCACGAGGGGGAGGUGGUUUGGUGGAGGAGCCUACUGCGAAAGAGCAUUCCAAUCUGAGACGGAGAGCUCAGAUGGUUCAGUGGUGGUCUUCCGCCUCCUUUUGAAGACCAGCGCAAAAUAGGUCUCCUCAUUGUCAGUAGGAGUAGGGGCAACUUCGACAACAACCUUCAGUUUAAGGUCCUCAGGGAGGAGUUCUUGGGUAGCCGCCUUCAUCUUCUUGGCUCUAGCUGCCAAGUCUUUCUUGUUGAGCCAACCCAACAUGUUGUCUACAAGAAAAGCAAAAGAAGUUUAAUAACAAAAAGUAAGUAAGCAUUGCUAAGAGCAAGAGAACGAAAGAUACCAAUAUAUGCUUUUAGUCCCCAUGGGGAGAACUCUUGGCUUAUGAGGGUGGCCGUAUCAAAAACCACCUUCAUAUUGGAGAAGAAGUGGCUCACUUCCUGGUCCCGCUGCGGUAUGCUGCCCAGGCACAAAGCACCUUGGAAAGUAGGUUUAUGGGUCCAGUAUAGGGGAAACUCAUCUAGAAGAGUUGGGUCCCUCUUGUUGCAGCACACCUUCAUAAACUUGCCUUUGAAGCCUUUAUAUGACUGCUGGAAGAGCGACAAUAAAAAGAGUUUUGAAUUAAUUGUGUUGGCACUGAUAAAUAAAAAAAUAAAUAAAGAAUUGGUUGCUUCAAGUUGGAAAAAUAGGGAUUAGGUUUAAUAUUUCUCACUCUUAUGUACUUUGAUUAACAUGUCAAUAUUAAGUUCUUUGAUUGAAAUUGAUGCCCGUAGAAAAUUCAUUUAUAUCGAUCUCUCGCAUAUAAAAUUCUUAAAAAUAUUUCUAAAAUAUCGAUCUCUCACAUACUUAUAAAAACAACUUAGAAAUCACAAUCAGACUUAAUGGAAAUUAACAUUUCAAGUCUUUCUCUAGCACUCAAAUCUGUUAAGGAUUGAUGUUUAGGUCCGAACCCUAAAAUUACCUCUCGGUCAGAUUUAAGAUUCUCAAUUUGUCAUGGAAAGUUAAAAGUAAAACAACAAUACCAAUAAUCAAUCAAGAGCUGAAUAUUAAUAUAUAAGAUAUCACCUCAAUACAUAAGAGUUUGAGCAGAUUACUCUCAAUCCCAAAGGGUAGAAUUAGCCACGCAUACUUCUAGCACCUUUCAUUCUCCCAAUUAGGUUACAAUUCACUCUAUGAUGUUUUUCUCUCAAUCUGGCACACUAGGGUUGAGCCUCUAGCCCCCUAUUUUUCCUAGUUUUCUAGGGUUAUGUCGCUUCCUGUGUCGCGCUAAUGGGCUAAGUGAUAAAACAUAAACAAGGCCCAAUCUUUCUUUGCAUCUUUUUCCAUUUUGUGACUUUCCAACUUUCUCUUUUUAGCUCAAAUUAUUCUCCUUUACUCUAAAUCUUCAAUCCUCCCUAAAAAUCUGCAAUUAACAUCAAAUUGGGAAUAAAAUGCUCUUAUUUAAAUAAAGCUCAUAAAAAAUGUAAAAAGGUAUACAUUCAUAAAUUAUGGAUUAUUUUAUAUGUAAAUUAGCAAUACAUCCUCAUAAGUGCCUAAAUUUUAAUAUGAAAUAUUACUGAAAUUAGACACUUAUCACUCUCUCCAACUUAGAAUCUUGUUUGUCCUCAAGCAAAGUAAAUGAAUAUAUUUGAAUUUAAAUAUCAAACAACUUAAUUUACUAAACAACAGAUCAAAUUAAAUACUUAUGAUGCUUCCAAAUUUAAAUAUAGAAAAAUAUAGACACAAUGAACUUCCAGGAUCAAAUCAAAAUAAAUAAAUGACAAUUCAUCAAGGAAUAUCUUCUCAUAUACUCAUGGGUAAGUGUUGUUCUCUAUUUUCACUUAAUCAUAACAAAUCACAGUUGCUUUUCAUUUCAUCUUCAAAUCACAAACAUAUUAGACACACGAAUCUUGAGGUCUUUUCCAGGGUUGUAAUGAGGUUGGGCUUCCAAAAAAUAUUGGUUUUUCUUAGAUAACAAAAUGCACAUCUUAAAGAAGAAGAACAUACCUACAAUUCAAUUAUAGAGAACAUAUAUGUUAUCUAAUUACCAUUUUCUUUCGAUGUCACCUUUUUCCUCAUUUUCUUUCUGACUUUUCAUGAUGAUUUUUUUUCUUUCCUUUCUAUUUCUUUUUAUUCUUCUGUUUUUCUUUUUUUCAAUAAUAGGAAAAGAUUCUUCCUAUUUUUAACUUUUUGAAUUUUCACAAUCAAAAUCAACCAUUUCCUUUUCUAUAUGUAUUGCAUCUAUGUUCUCCUUCCUUAAACAUGCUAAAGGGUAGGAAAAUAUAUCAUUAAAGGUUAAGGUGCAAUAUUAAAAAAAAAAAUUCUUGGCCCAAAGGGGAUAUAUAAAAAAAAAUGGGAUUCUAAUAACAUAAAGGUUGGCUAUUUGGCCAUGGCUCCUAAUUAACACAACAAAUGACUCAAUCAUUUUCAUGCUCUUUUAUGAUGUAACAAAAAUAAAAAUUAAGCAACCACAACUGUCAAUUCAUCAGUAAAACUCUCAAAACUGUCUAAGGUUCACACACUCACUUGGUUUAAUUAGUUUCAUUCCUUUUUGUCUUGUCAUUCUCUCUAUCCUAAUCAAUCAUCCUGUUAAAUUUUCAUGUAUCAUAAUUUCAACUAUAUUUGAAUAGGGAUUCAAUCAUAUAUUUGUUCUAACCAGUGUCUAAUUCAUCUCACUAUCUAAUAUUUAAACACAAAUUCUUUUUUCCACAAUUCAAAAUUAAUAUUCUAGUUCUUUUUUAUUUGAAAAAAAUAAAACUAGAAAAUAAAUUAAAUUAAAACUGAAAUUUAUUCAAGAAAAUUAAUUCAAACCUGAAACUAACAAACUAACAAAACAGAAAAUUUAUUCAAAAUACAAAAUAAGUAAUUAAAACAAACUAAACAAAUAAGCAAAUAAACAGAAAACUGAAAAAUAAAAUAAAAUAAAACUAAACAAAAAAUAAAAUUCAAAUAACUGAAUAUAAAAGAGAAUUAGAAAGAUAAAACCAUAUUUUUGCUCAAUCCUCUCUUCUUAAGAAGCUACCCAGCUUUUUGAUAAAAUCUUUAUCUACAGUCUUGCUUCAUUUGCUGGAUCUGCCCCCUGAAUAAUAGAACCUGUCCACCAGUGAAAAUACAUAACCUGCAAAAUGAUUAGGAGGCAUAUAGGAUUUUUUUUAUUUUUUUUUAAUAUUAUUAUUAUUUUAUUUUAUAUUUAUUUUUAUUUAUUUACUUUUUGAAAAAUAAAAUCAACAAAGGUAACAAAACAACAUAAAACUAAAAUGUGGACUGGGUUGCCUCCCAGUAAGCGCUCGUUUAACGUCAUCUAGCUUGACGCCUGUUUAUUUCAAGGUGAAAAACUCCCUUUGUUGCAUCCCUUUGUACACAUUCUUCCCCUACCUUAAAAUUUAUAAGAUCAUAAAAAAGAUUUAAAGUUACCUCCUCAUCUUGAGUUCUAACUUGAAGUUCUCCUUUGUCAACAUCAACUAUGAUUCUAGCAAUCUUCAUAAAUGAUCUUCCAAGUAUCAAGGGAACCUCCUCAUCUUCUUUCAUGUCCAUCGUAACAAAAUCCACAGGGAAUGUGAAUUUAUCCACCUUGACAAGAACAUCUUCAACCACACCAUAUGGAUACUUGGUUACUUGAUCAACUAACUUUAAAGUCAUCUUGGUGGGUUUAAUCUCCAAAUCACCUGUUUUCUUCAGCAUUGUCAAAGGAAUUAUAUUUACGCUUGCUCCCAAAUCCAAUAAAGCAUUGUCUACAAAUAAAGCACCUAUAGACACGCAAGGUUAAAACUCUCUGGGUCCUUUGAAUUUUUUAGGCAAGUCUUUUUGAAUAAUGGCACUAUAUCUAUCCUCCAGCUCUAUAUUUCUUUCUUCAAUAUAGCUCCUAUUCUUUCGAAAUAUUUCAAAUGUUGAAUCUUUCUUCAAAUUUCCUGCAAAAUAAUUUUUAGGGAGCAAUUUAUCAAAGAAUUUUAUUUCAUUAUCUUUUUUUUUGAAAGAGGAUGAGGAUAUGAUAAAUCUUUUUCAAAAACACCUCUCUUGGGUUGGUUUGGUUGUUGACUAACUGUCCACUUUGUCCAUUUGCAAUUAGUGCAAUAUUUUUGGCCAACUGCCUCGUUUGGAUCUCUAUACUCCUAAUCAUGGCCAUGCUAUUGUCCUGCGCUCUCAUAAUAUUGUCUUGAGCGCUCACAAUCUUUGCCAGGGCGUCUUCAACUUUACUCAUUCUUUCAAGCAUGGAUGGAUCCUCAACUUCAAGUGAAUUGUUCUGAUAAGAACAUUGAUCAUUAGGAUGAGCACCUCCACAAAAAUCACACCUGAUUGAUUGACUCUGGCUUUGAGAGGAAUGAACAACAUAUAAUUGUUGGGGCAAUUUAGCCAUUUGUGUGGUUAGUUGCUCAAUCUACUCUGUCAGAAUUUAAUUUCUAGCCAAGAGUGCACCUUUUAACGACCCUUUAUUCUGAAGACUUUGUCCAUCAUGUUGGGCUUGAUAAUCAGUUUAUGCCAAUGCAUCAAUAAUUCUUGCCACUUGUUCUACCUCAAGAACCAUCAUUGUGCCACUAGUUGCGGCAUCUAGGAGCAUCUUUGUGUCAGAUCUGAGACCAGUGAGAAAUAUGCUCAGUUGAGCAAUAUCUUCAAACCCAUGAUUUGGGCAUUUUCUCAAUAUCAUCUAGAAUCUUUCUCAUGUCUCACACAAUGAUUCAUCUGCUCCUUGUCUGAACAUAGAAAUUUCAGACUUUGCUUUGAUGUAGCGAGAGAUUGGAAAAAAUCUUUGCAAAAAAUUUUCCUCUACAUCCUUCCAACUAGUGAGGCUCUGGUUUGGAAGUGAUUUGAGUCAUUCCUUAGCCUUUCCUGCCAAUGAAAUAGAAAACAAGUGCAUAUAAACAUUUUCAAGAUCACCUGAUUGAAAACCCAUUGUUCCUACCAAUUCAUAAAAUGUAUCCAAAUGUGAACAUGGAUCCUUAUACUAGAAAAAUGCCUUGGUCCUUGGUCCAUGACAUAAUCUCCAAGUGUUCUCCUCCUAGGUGGUGUUUGUUCUUGCUUUCUUCCUAAAACAUAUUAGUGAAGAGAGAAAAAAAAUUCUUUUUUUAAAUAAAAUUAAAAAAAAUUAAAUAAAAAAAUUCAAAAUAAAUUUAAAGAUAAAAAUAAAAACAAAUCUGCAAUUUAAAAUAAAAACAAAAAUAAAACUAAAAACUAUAAUUGUAAACAACUAACUAAAAUUCUAACUAACUAGCUUACGUAAAAAUAAGAAUUAAAACUAGUAGUGAAAAAUAAUUAAUUAAAACAAAUAAAUAACAAUUACGUAAACCUAAAUAAAACUACGUAACCUAAACUUAAAGAAAACUAAAAUAAAAUAAAACAAAUCAAAAGAAAAGAAAAAUCAAAAUAAAUCCAAAAAUAAAUAGAAACAAAUAAAAUCAAAAUAAGAAUUAAAAUAAUAACAGCAAAUCUGCAAAUUAAAAUAAAAUAAAAUAAAAUAAAAUAAAAUAAAAACAAAAUCUGUUUAAAAAAAACAGUAACAAAUAUAAUACAAAAUUAAAACAAAUCAAAACAAUUAAAAUAUUCACAAUAUUUAGGAAACUAUACUCAACAAAUCAAACCUGUUCCCGGACAACGGCACCAAAAACUUGAUCAUUUUUUACGGCAAGUGCACUGCGUUUGUCAGAAGUAAUAAUUGUCCUUAAGGACGGAUAUCGAUCCCACAAUGAACCGUGAAUUAUCGAGUACAAUAAUCUCUAAAUAUAAAAACAGAACAAUAAAAAGAGUUUUGAAUUAAUUGUGUUGGUACUGAUCAAUAAGAAAACAAACAAAGAAUUGGUUUCUUCAAGUUGGAAAAAUAGUGAUUAGGUUUCAUCUUAAGUGUUAGAAUAGCAGUUCUUGCUCCUUGAGGGGUACCAAAUAUAUGAUUAUUAGAAUCGGGGUUUUGAGCAUAAAGAUUUCACUGACCUGUAAAAAAUGGACCUAAUCCUUCGGGAUGCGGCAGUAUACCUAAUAAAUUAUUCCUGGACCCGGAAUAGCGACAUGGACUAAAUGUCCUGUCCAAGCCAAGGAACUUACUCCGAAUAGUCCUGACAAAUGAUGAUUGAGGCGGGAUUCAGCAUUUUUAAACCACGAACAACUUGGUUUCCAUUUUGGUUACAGGUGUAACCAACCCGCUAUUAAAGAUAUAGUAGAUAGAACUAAUAGAAAAAUAGCUCUAGUAUAAAGAUCCCCAUUAGCACGUAAACCGAUUGUAUACCA